rnacentral:rRNA from 1 species
UACGUAGGGGGCGAGCGUUGUCCGAAUUCACUGGGCGUAAAGCGCGCGUAGGCGGACUUUUAAGUUGGGGGUGAAAUCCCGAGGCUCAACCUCGGAACUGCCUUCAAAACUGGGAGUCUUGAGGUAUGGAGAGGGAAGUGGAAUUCCAGGUGUAGCGGUGAUAUGCGUAGAUAUCUGGAGGAACACCCGUGGCGAAGGCGGCUUCCUGGCCAUAUCCUGACGCUGAGGUGCGAAAGCUAGGGGAGCGAACGGGAUUAGAUACCCCGGUAGUCCUAGCCGUAAACGAUGGAUACUAGGUGUUAGAGGUAUCGACCCCUCUAGUGCCGCAGCUAACGCAUUAAGUAUCCCGCCUGGGGAGUACGACCGCAAGGUUGAA